UUGGCCUCAGUCCAUUCUGCAUACAGGCAUCUUCCUUGCGAGGUCUGAAUCCACAGCAAUUUGUAUCUAAGCGAUUAUAAAUCUGAAAAUGGAAAUGAAAACAAAAUCCAAGAUGCUGAGUAAAAGCUUGGGAAAGUCAGAACAUUUCCAAAGAAUGGGAGUUUUCUGAACAGCUGACUUGCCAGAAUCCCAGCAGGCCAGGCUGACUUAAUUGAAAGCAACUGUUAGAAAAGUCCACAGUUCAAAGUCCUCUGACUCAGACAGAGUCCUAAGCAUUUCCAGCUUCUGCUAACAGCUCCAACAUCAGGUUGUCCAACUCAAGCGUCUCCACCCUUGGUAUCCGCAGUUCCCACGGAAUCACAUUCAAGCAUGUGGCCAGCACAAUCUCUGACUCUUCAGCAGAGCCUACUGUGCCAGACAAUUCUGACCAACAUCACAGAUGGUGACCAGCAUCUUCUAGAAAUGUUGACACAGAUGCUUUCAGAUUCAAUCUUCAAAUUCACUUGCCGUACAACAGCGGUCAUCCCGAGAGCUUCCUGUGUUGUUAAAGGAGACGGAGUGAUGGAAGGGACCACACGGAAGAGCUGAGACAGCAUGUCACACGACCAACAAGCUGGCAUCCUUACCCACGCCUCAUAAAGAACACAACUGAAUAGUGACCAGCUGCACACACCCUUCGUUUACCCAACUGCCCCCAUGUGGGGAUCCAUAUCUCAUCUCAGAAUAUGGAAGCCCCUGCCACCUAUGACUCAAGAUCUCUGCUGAAACCAAGAAGAAUGAUGUUGUCAGGUCAUAUGGGACUUGCGGCAAGCUGAAAUCAGAGCAAGUGAAAAACCUGUUGCAAUGUAACUAAGGCAUGUGUGAUGCUCAAAGUUAUGAUUAUUAUCAGAGGUACUAACAAACUCUGUGCCUGAAAUAUUUUCUCCCCGUAAAAGUAAUAUAUAAGAAAGCCAAGCUUAAAAAAGAAGUAAAUAUGGUGCUAGAGAGAUUGCUUAGAAGUCAAUCGCAAGAGGUGUUCUUCUAGAGGUCCUGAGUUUAAGUCUCAGCAGCCACAUGGUGGCUCACAGCCAUCUAGAGUGGGAUCUGAUGCCCUCUUUUGGUGUACAGGUGUACAUGCAGAUAGAGCACUAGUAGACAUAAAAUAAAUAAAUCUUUUUUUAAAAAAACAGUAGAUUUUAAGAAUUCCAACUAUAAGACCCAAAUACGGUGAAGGUUGCUUGGCCUUCACCUUGGAACAACUCUAGACCCAAAUUAGAUCCUGCAUAGGCUUCAAUCUCCCACCAACACAUUCUCCUUCCCUCUUCUGUCAGGUGUGUAUCACUGAGUGCCCCUGGGAGUUCAAACUCACCCCCCACCCCACCUUCUGAAAGGUAUCUACAAAGUGGGGGAGAAGACAGAGGGGCACUCACUGGAAGUGCCCCCACUAAGCCUUCCCUUUCCUUCACUGACCCUUGCUGGUUCCAUGUGAAGACCCUAAGAAUGGAUGUUCACGGUUCCUCCUGCUGGGUCCCUAACCCUGGCUCACCAUCCUCUUAGCAUCUAGGAUGCUCCACAGUUCUGCAACCGUAGUUCUGCUGCUUCACGCCUGCUUCCCACAUGGAGAUGUUUGCUGGCUGUUCUCACAACAGGCCUGGAGAGUGCCUGGAUAGUGCCUGGAUAGUGCCAGGCCGCAAAGUCAGGGAACUGAAGUUCUCUCUUCUUCAUUGUUCCUCAAAGGCUGUAAUGCAGAUGUUUAGCUGGCACUAAGGAGUGUGGCUUUAGUGGGUUUUUUUUUCUAGUUUUGUUAUUGUUAUUUGGAUGGUGAUGGUCUUUUUAUUGUUUUUAUUGAGCCUUGUUAUUAUUUUGAGACAGGAUCUCACUAUGUGGGGGUUUUUAUGCUUUUGUUAGUGUCCUUAUUUGGUUGGUGGUGGUCUCAUUACUAUUUUGAGACAGGGUCUCACUAUCACCCAGCAUAGCCUGGAAUGCACAGUAAUCCUCCUACUACAAGUGUGAGCCACCAGACCAGCUUGUAAUGGGUAAAUAGCACUCUGCUCUCUGUGUUUUGUCUUUCUCUUAAACUGUGUGUGAAAUGAAUUCCAUCUUUUACAUUGUUUUGUGGACAUCUGUGCCUCUCUGGACAGCACAGGAAGGCACUCUUAGAUGCCAUUCCUACUGGGCUACCUGUCUAGGUUGACUUGCAGCGGAAUAAACGCUUGAGCAGAA